rnacentral:rRNA from 1 species
GAUGAACGCUGGCGGCGUGCCUAAUACAUGCAAGUCGAACGAGGUGCUUUUGUAGCAAUACGAGAGUAUCCUAGUGGCGAACGGGUGAGUAACGCGUGGAUGACCUGCCCCAAAGUGUGGGAUAACAGUCCGAAAGGAUUGCUAAUACCUCAUGUGGUUAUCGGUUUAGAAAGCGAUAACUAAAGCAGCAAUGCGCUUUGGGAGGGAUCUGCGUCCCAUCAGCUAGUUGGUGAGGUAACGGCUCACCAAGGCGACGACGGGUAGGGGACCUGAGAGGGUGGCCCCCCACAAUGGAACUGAAACACGGUCCAUACACCUACGGGUGGCAGCAGUAGGGAAUAUUGCUCAAUGGGCGAAAGCCUGUAGCAGCAACGCCGCGUGUGCGAUGAAGGCCUUCGGUCGUAAAGCACUUUUCUAAGAGAUGAGAAAGGACAGUAUCUUAGGAAUAAGUCUCGGCUAACUACGUGCCAGCAGCCGCGGUUAAAGUCGAUAUCG